UGCCAAAGAGGACAUGGUUGUGGAAGGAAAAGUUCAGGUCUCGUCGUCAGACCCCUGCUAUUUGCCACUUGGUUUUGGUUGUGCUUGAGACUAGUCCUGGAAGCUCCAUGAAGGCCUUGCUGGGAGACUGUUGUGUGGGCAGAAAGACUUGAGAACUGUUCCAUUUUUUGGACUUAUUAAAAUCCUGGUCAGACUCCCACAGACAUGAAGAGUAUCUGGCAAUUGAUUCCAAAAGCUUAAGCAGGGAAGUAUCACUGCAUACAACUGUAUGUAUCUAGUACCUAUACUGUGAUUCUUUUAUGCCUUUUCUGGUUUUCAUAACUGAAAAACUGAAGAUGCUUAGAUCAAUUCAGUUUCACAGCAUCAUAAAAAGUUUCAUGACAUAUAUUUCCAGGGGUUUCUUCCUUGCUUCCAGGUGAUGAGCUUGAGCCUUAAAAUUGCUUUACCUUGAAGAUAUGAUGUUUCACCAGUUUCUCACUUUGCCAUAGUACUUAGUGACCAGGACUGAGAGAUACCUGAUGCUUUCCUUGUCCAUGUCUCUAGAAGUGAUUCCAUAUUUUUGAUCCUCAUUUUCCCUCCUGCAAAAGAAGAGAAUGAUGUUAAUCAGGAGUUAGACUGAAAGUGUAAAUAGAGGUGCACGUACAGACUUCACCCCUAGCCACUCAUUAGACUUUUCUGUCUCUUCCUUUUUGUGCCUGAUGGAUCUGUUUUUCUGCAGAAUGCUGCCUCCCCAGUGGUCUCUGUGCUUCCUUCGGGCUUUGCAGUAGCUGGCUCUGCUUUUCUUCUCUGUCUCUGCAGCACACAGGCUCCCUGCAUCGCAGUAUUCCAGACUCCUUGACUUUUUCUCUUCUGGCACUGCAUGCUCCACCAGUUCAGAUGGUUUUCCUGUUUAUGCCUCUUUUUCAGUUUACAGAAACUGCUGCUUUAUUGAUUAUCAUGAGCUCUCUGUUUCUACAUACCACUUUGCCUUGGCAGCAGUACUCAGGCCCUGAAGAAUCUCAGGAAGAGGAACGAUCACACUAGAUUAAGCAGUAGAUGGACUAUCAUCAAUUGAAAGCUCCCAGGGCAAUGGCAUUCAUGUUGGCAAGAGCCCUGGGAGAAGUGAAAGGCGUUGGCCAGCAUGACCUAGACAAAGGACUCCUGCAGGCAAUGGGUCAAACAGCAGCAAAUGUCCUAUUUUUGCCAGUCUUCUCCAGCUAACUUGCAGGCUUCCAGGCUGCUCCUUGAAGUGCCUUGCAAAUGCCCAUGGAAGACACUUCCUCUCAAUGGACCAAUAACACAGCAAAUGCUCCCCAGCCUCACUGGUCAGCAGUGGCCAUAGUCUGAGAGCCUCUUGCAUCAGCUGCUGUGGUAAAAACAGGAGCCCUCUAGACAGAAACUUUUUCUUUUAACAGCGUAACUGAACUGGCCUUUAGGUAUUACCAGUGUAUGGACAGGAGACAAAAGCAUAACUGCAGAAAUUCAAUUCCCAUUUCAUGAGUUUUAAAUUCUUUUUUUGAGCAAAACCCCAAGUCAGAUUUAUUUAUUUAUUUAUUUAUUACAUAUACUAAGACACCUACCAGCCUAGACAAACAUGGCUGGUAAAAAUCCAGUCAUGUAUAUGCUUAAAGCAAAUCAGGAAGACACGCCUCUGAUACAGAAUAUGAUGUUCAAGGUGUCAGUAAAACUGCACAGCUCUGUGGCACUUUGGGUGGCUAAAUGUACCACACCCGAGAAGGGUUUGUUUGCAAAACUGAGGUUGAAAAUAAAGGACACUGAACAACA